rnacentral:tRNA from 2 species
GCAUUGGUGGUUUAAUGGUAGAAUUCUUGUUUGCUAUGUAGGACAUCUGGGUUCAACUCCCAGCCAGUGCA